rnacentral:rRNA from 1 species
AUUCCGGUUGAUCCUGCCGGAGGCUACUGCUAUCGGAGUCCGAUUUAGCCAUGCUAGUCCAUCGAGUCUUUGACUCGAGGCAGAUAGCUGAGUAACACGUGGCCAACCUGCCCUAUGGAUGAGGAUAACCUCGCUAACGUGAGGCUAAUACUCAAUAGCAGACGGAAGUGGAAUACUUCCAUCUGUGAAAUGUUCCGACGCCAUAGGAUGGGGCCGCGGCUGAUUAGGUCGUUGGUGAGGUAACGGCUCACCAAGCC